rnacentral:rRNA from 1 species
UACGUAGGGUGCGAGCGUUGCCCGGAUUUAUUGGGCGUAAAGGGCGCGUAGGCGGCCACGCACGUCCGUUGUGAAAUCGCCCGGCUCAACUGGGCGGGGUCGGCGGAUACGGCGUGGCUGGAGCAAGCUAGGGGGCAAUGGAAUUCCCGGUGUAGUGGUGGAAUGCGUAGAUAUCGGAAGGAACACCAGUGGCGAAGGCGGUUGCCUGGAGCUUUGCUGACGCUGAGGCGCGAAAGCGUGGGGAGCGAUCCGG